rnacentral:lncRNA from 1 species
UUUCAGGGUCUGCAGAGCAUUUUGUACGUGGCCGGUGCUGUGGUAUGAGUGCCAUUGUGAGCUCACAACACUUUAGGGGGCCACAGAACCCCAAGCAUUAUACUUUAGUCUUUCCUUUCUACCUUUCUGCCUCUCUCAGUAAAGGCUGUUAUUAAGUAACAAAUUCGGGUGGGUCAAGGGCAGAGUAACCAAGAGAUCUCAGCAAGCAUGAGGGAGAUUCAAGGAGCUGGCAUUGUGUGACUGGGGACAGAAAAGCCCUCAUGCAGGCAGGCGGGUCACAAUUGUUCCCUUCAGAUUUCUGAGGGGCUGCCUUGGUGGGAGAGGGGGUAGUUCAGUUCUGUGGGGCUCCAGGGGGCAAAAGGCAUGAUAAAUGAGUAGAAGUCAUGGAGAGGUGGAGCUUGCCUCCAGACAGAAUGCUAAGAAGGAUGCUGCUGCACAGUGGGGACUGAGCCAACUCACUGUUCAACAAAUAAGCAUUGGAGGGUCUCUAGUUCCAUAGAAAGAAGGCAAAUGAAGAGGACAGAAGAAGGAGAGAGACCUUCCCACCCCAUCAGCCCUAUGCUGCAGAGAGUUAAGUGAAGACAUAUGAUGUGCUCUGGCCAAUGAAAUGGAUCCCACAUCUACUUCUCUUGCAGAAACCAACUGGUGGAAGUGACCUUCUCAUGGAGUGUCCUUCACAAGGACCAGUCCUCUGCUCAGAGUUCCUGCAUCCUGGGGGCCACUUCUGAACCAGACCAUGCCCACUCCAGCCACCACAGAUCGAGCCACGGGCAACCAAUUACUAGACUGGCCACACCUGUGACUUGUGUGGUUCCGCCUUAAGAGAUAGACUGGAGCAAUCAGAUUCUCAGUUUGAGAAAUCUGAUCAAACACAUGGAAAGACUUGCUGAUUUAUGGUGAUGAUUGCAGCUGCAAAGUCUUGAGCUGCCCCGUCAUAAGGAGUAGGAGAUGAUGACCAUCUUGGAGGAGGGAGAUGCUGUAUCCUGGAGAGGCCACUGGGGUAGGAAUCGGCCAUCUGUGCUCCGCUUCAAGUUGUGCUACCGAUUAGUCACAUCACUUCACAUCUGUGCUGCACCCUCACCCUCACUGCUAAACUGGUGACAAUAAAGA